UCAGUGCGCCCAAAUUGGGACGAGCAGCGCCAUGCGCCUGAGGCGUCUCUGUGGGAGAACAUGUUGACACCUCACACAGCACGCUGAAGAGUCCUAUUGAUUUUCAAAUGGAGGAGAAGAGAGUCUCCCAGCGGCGGCCGCUCGAUGGACUUGUGUGAAAGUCUGAGGGAUGACACUCGCUCCGUCACGGAUGGCAGCCGUUGGCGAGCUCGCCCUGGGCGGCCGCCUCGGGCACCGCAGUACGCCCUCACACUCGGGGAAAAUUAGUGAAAUAAAAUUAGGAAAUAAUUUGUGACGGACACUGUCCUCCGCCCAACCCUUCACGCUUCUGUCUUGAAAUUAAAUAUAAUUACAAAAUAAAUUAGAGUAACUGUUUUGGGGAAGUCAGGUCACAUGACGUGGAGGCGUAUGUCACGUCAGCGAACGAGCGACCAGUCAGAACUCGACAGGUGUUUUUUUUUAUUUACAGGUUUUUUCAACACGAAAAGAACACCUGAGCCCUCGGGUGCACAGUUCCGCCAAAGAAGAAAAAUGGAGGAAGAAAAGAAGUCAAAAUAAGAAGUGGUCUCUAAUGGAGAUUGUCUGCACCCUGUUGUGAUAUUGAUGUGGCAUAUGCAGUAUUUCCUCACAUAGUGUCUCCUACUCCAUUAGAAGCCAGGCCUCAAUUCAACACCAGGUGUCUCUUUUCAUCUAAUGCCGAGAUCACUCUCCAGAAUUUUAGCAGUGAUAAAUUUGCCGAUUAGCUACCACAGGCGAGUUCCCAGAUUGCUUCCAUAUUUUGCGCACCUUGAUGUCAGCCAAUAGGAUUGUGUCUUGUCACCGCCGCAUCGUCUUCUGUUCUCGCCAUUGUCAACAUACUUGCCGGACCAGAAGUGGUCUAACUGGAAGAAACGUCAUGCAGACAAGAUGGCAAGAUUUUAUGGCAAUUGUCUGACAUAUUGCAAUUGUGAAAGAGCAACUUUGUCUUGUAGUCUGAUUCAGGCAUAACUGGUGCUUUACAGCAUCUUUGUGUUUGUGGCUGUGAAAGUCUCUGGUGACCUGGCCUUUACCACCUCACGUAGCCUCAUGCAGCUUGUUAGUGUGCCUGUAUGCACAAUUUGUGUGUCUGUGAGUGUGUCACAAGGGCAGCAUGGGAAAGCUUGCUAAUUUUCUAAAUGGAGUCAUCCAUCUGACAGAGGAGAAAGAUUCUGCUUGGCUUCCCACCUGUGAUCCGGCCCACGAGGGGAGUCCGAAUGGGCCCAGUUGAGGGUCACCAGACGUGUAUGAAUGUAAGAAGAGGAAUAUAUAGCAUGUGAAGCCACGACGGAGGAGUUCACUUGUUGACCUAAAACUACCAGAGACGUCGCCUGAUUGUGUGUCGUGACCACUCUGGACCCUGUUACGAGCCCGGCCUAGGUUUGAUCUAACGAAGACUCAUUGCUGUUAAAGACUGAUUAGAGCAUCUGCUUCACAGUGAGUGGGUUUUCUACAGGAACUUCGGUUUCCUCCCACAUCCCCCAAAAAACUUGCAAGGUGACACAGUCGCCGGCCUUUGAAGAGGAGCAGCGAGCCGAGCGGCCACUCACCAAGAAAACGGGGGAAUCUGUCAUUUCACACUGGGAGGAAACCCAUGCCGGGUGGCUAUUGUACCUCAUAAUAGGCAAGCCGUGGUUUAACAUAUCAUUUUGACACGUUUGGGCGUUAUGACACAGAUGGUUUUACUGACGCUAUUGGUAGAAGGGAGGAAGGAAACCGCUUCUCAUGUUGCACUGAACUGGGCCACAUGUAGAUGCGACCGGAAAACUAGCUUUUACAGAAUCAACAGCACCUCUGCUGGUUGCUAUUGAGUAUUGCACUCCAUUUUUAUAAAAAGUAGAUGGAUGGAUGCUUUAAUCCAGUGAUUUUCCACCACUGUGCCGAUGAUGAUGAUGAUGAUGAUGAUGUGGGGUGUACAGCAGAAAUUUAUUAAUCCAACCAUCCAUCUCGGUAUUUUCUAUGCGGAUUGUCCUCUUUGCACGAGUCAGAGGAACAAAUCCCAUCCGACUUUGAGUGAGAGGUGGGGUACAACCUGGAAAAGUCACCGCCAACCAAUCGCUGGGCACAAAUAAAAAAAACAACCAUUCGUACUCUCAUUGUCACGGAAGGACACCUUCGACAUGAAGGCUGUAUCGCAUUAUGUCAUCUUGAAGCAUGUAGAUGGUGGGUGCUUGAGCAGAGCACAUGUGAGUACCAAUCCCAAUGCUUCAGUAUCUGCAGAUAGGAUUUAUGGUCAUGAAGACUUAACACUUGAAUAUGGAGAUCAUUGAAAAAAAUCAUCACCAUUAAAAAUGAUUUUCGUGACUGAAAGAGAAGCUAAGACUAGAUGACACUGUGAGACUUCUGGGAUCGGUAGAACCCAGAAAUAAGCAGAAUUUCUGUGUAAACUGCAGGGGUUAACGCUGUGAGGGGAAAAUGUAGUUUGUAGCCAGUUUUUGGUCAUCAACUAUCAAUUCCACACAACUGACAGGAUUGUUAAUGACUUGAGUGACUGAUUAUUAGGCCCAUUGUUCGUCAUAGAUAUUUGACCUUACAUGCAAGUAUUGCGGCCGAACCCCAUCAUCCCAAUUGUGGAAUCACCCGAGCUAAAUAAUAAAAAGCUCAGUAGUCUUGGAUUGGAACAAACUCCCGCCCCCUGUCCACUGUUGAUGUGCAAAUUUAAGGAGACAAGUAAGUUGUAAAACCGUUCCAUCAGUCGAUCCCAGAAGCGUUCAUUUCAUGCUGUCCACUGAGGCAGCUGUUUGACAGCACCUGACAACUUAUUCAUUAGCGACAAUAAUCAGGCUCCCAUAUGUUGUAGGGUCUUCACACUUUUAAAGCUCUUGGCAACCAUAUCAUCUCACAACCCCUUGUCAAUAUGUCAGCCAUCUGUUUAAAGACAAUACACUCCGCGGGGAGGGGGCUCGCCACUGGUUUAUGACUGUGAGGUGUGAAUACUCUCCUCUUUCUCCCCUUCCUCAUUCCACACGUGGUGGCCCAUCACCCGCUGAGUCCACCUGAGGUCCCAGGACAGCAGUUACAGGGGUUGGCUGCGUCGCGCGAGCCUGCCGGCCGCCUCUUCUUCAAGAGAGAUGCUACACACUAUCAGCUUUGGGCUGCAGACAAAGAUGACUGUCUCCACAUCAGACCACUGGAUCUCCUCACACAGGCCCCGCUCGUUUGUUUGGCGAGUGUUGUGUUCUGGUCUCCACGGGGCUCGAGGGGCCCGAGUGAUGCCGCGUCACAUUCACGCCGGGUGAAAGGAAAUGAGUUGCAGCGCCUGAGAUCUGAUGUUGUGUUCACUAUCUUCCACUCGCCCGAGGAGCCCCUUUAGUUUAGUGCGACUGGGAUGCCUGUGAGCAUUUUUAUCUGCUGCUGUCCAGGCGAGGUUAUCAUUUCUGCUCCACCUCGGACCUCACGCAUUGUCACGAAGCUGCAGUUGAACAAUCUCCGUCGCACAAAUAUCGCCAUCACGUUUAUCUGAUCUAUUUGUCGAGGUCAGCUAUGUUUAUUCUGGCUGACAUUCCACCCUACAGUAUUUUAACGCCCCCCAACCGAGCCAGAACAAAUUUGCCAAUUGUUGUUCUUGUCAAAGCGGAGUAAUAAGCCCACACUUGCCCCAUGUGUUUUGAGUUGGCCUGAGUGCUGAGUGGGCCAGGUAGUGUUGACUCUCGGGUGAAAAGCGGCCUUGAUCCACCCCGCGUGGUCACUUCCAGGUCGGGCGUGAGGAGUGUGCACGAAUGGGGGGGUUGGAAGCAGGAUAUCAGAGACAGGCCAAAUAAACAAAGCUGUCAGCCGUAGCAUGGCCCUCUGACCUGCCCUGUCCCAUCUGUUUUCUUAUCUGCUCCAGCGCUAAUACUGAGAACAAGUGACACCUCUCUCGCUGUUUCCCUUCCACUUGGAUGCCGUGGUUGGCAGGGGUGUGGAGCUAUUGUGGCCGUUUUUCAUUCUCAAAAUUUAUGAGCGCAAUAAAAUGGCCCAAUACAGUGUUUUGAUAUUUUGUAGGAAUAUGUCCUUAAGCGGCUUGAUGUGAUCUUUCCCACAAACUCAUCCAACUGUGCCUUUAAGGACCUGAAUACAGUAAGAACUGAAAAGGAUUCACUGGGAUCUCUUCCCACAGUUGCUUGCACGCAAUGGUCCAAAAUGUCUUUUUGCAGCAGUGGUUUAAUCUGCAAGGAUUCUUGGUUGUAGACUGGAUCAACCCCCCACCCUCACCCCCAGAUAUCCCACCCACAUUUCAAGGGAGUGCAGUUUUUACUGAAUAGCCACAUAGUAAAAAAGCCGGAAAAUGCCAUUUUUACAGGCACUAACAAAUCUAACCACUCAUAAAACUAGUCUUUUUCCAACAUUUUAUUUAUUUGCGAACGUUACACAGACAGACACAGAAUCAGUGGGUUGAAUUUGAGCUACAGAUUUCCUUGUCUUCUGAGGUAGGAUCAGAGGCGUAGCUAAGCGGGGGCGUCACAAGAAGUUGGGAAGACAAUGUGAAUAUCAACUGCACGUAAUGUAGAUGGAUGGACUAAAAUAAAAAUAUCACUUAUGGCAGAACUCUGUGUAUUAGCCCAACCUCUGACUGAUACAUUUUCGUUUUACUUUGUUUGGGCUCUCAUAUCAAACAUUUUCAAUGGCAUAAGACGCUCAAGUGUAAAGACAGAAGUUACAGUCUUUGGCGUUUGCUGACGAGCUCACAAGAAACGAGCGUCACAGAACCAUCAUUGCUGUGCUGGGCGGAGUGGAUCGGUCCUUGAUGGUGCCAAUCAUUGGGGAGGGCGGAGAGGAGGUAGACCAUCAUUGAAGCUCCCCAGGGACUGAAAUGGAGGAGCGUGAGUGAAGGGGCGGAGCAGCAACAGCAGAAAGGCGUGUUUGAGUUAUCUGUUCAUGGUUAAAAUUGUUCAUCUAAAUCCACCAUUCCAAAAAUGACCUAGCUUGUAGUUUUUGUUUUUUCUUAAUAUGGUGAUGACAGGCCAUUUCCCUUAAAACUUUUGCAUUUAAUUGUCCAAUUGUUGCAACACAUUCAGUCCAUACUAGUUCAUUGAACUCUUUUACGUACAACAUUGGUAACAAAAGGAAAACCACCAAACCUUCACAGGCUCACACUGUAUAGCGUCAAAAUUCAUGUAGAAUUUGUAGCUGAUAUUGUAUUUUAAUAAAACAUUGAUGUAUGGCCACAUUGUAAAAAUGUUAAAAUCUCCCAAUUUUUGCGUUUGAAAGUAGAUUACAGCAUGUGUGCCUAAACUAGUAACAUGACUUCCAUGUAAAUGUCCAACAAGGUAGAAAUAUUUCUACAACGUAAACUAACUGUUGCCACAAUAGCCGUUAGACCAAUCUACAGGUUUUUGUUGGAUUAUUAAAGAUA